rnacentral:rRNA from 1 species
AUUGAACGCUGGCGGCAGGCUUAACACAUGCAAGUCGAGCGGAGUGAUGGUGCUUGCACUAUCACUUAGCGGCGGACGGGUGAGUAAUGCUUAGGACUCUGCCUAUGAGUGGGGGACAACAUCUCGAAAGGGAUGCUAAUACCGCAUACGUCCUACGGGAAAAAGCAGGGGACCACUUGUGACCUUGCGCUAAUAGAUGAGCCUAAGUCGGAUUAGCUCGUUGGUGGUGUAAAGGCCUACCAAGGCGUCGAUCUGUAGCGGGUCUGAGAGGAGGGUCCGCCACACUGGGACUGAGACACGGCCCAGACUCCUACAGGAGGCAGCAGUGGGGAAUAUUGGACAAUGGGGGUAACCCUGAUCCAGCCAUGCCGCGUGUGUGAAGAAAGCCUUAUGGUUGUAAAGCACUUUAAGCGAGGAGGAGGCUAUUUUGGUUAAUACCCAAGAUGAGUGGACGUUACUCGCAGAAUAAGCACCGGCUAACUCUGUGCCAGCCGCCGCGGUAA